UCCUGGCUUAGGAUGAACGCUAGCUACAGGCUUAACACAUGCAAGUCGAGGGGCAGCAUUGGAGUAGCAAUACUUCAGAUGGCGACCGGCGCACGGGUGAGUAACACGUAUCCAACCUGCCGCGUUACUCGGGGGAUAGCCUUUCGAAAGAAAGAUUAAUACCCGAUGGUAUAAAGAGUUCGCAUGUUCUCUUUAUUAAAGAAUUUCGGUAAGCGAUGGGGAUGCGUUCCAUUAGAUAGUUGGCGGGGUAACGGCCCACCAAGUCUACGAUGGAUAGGGGUUCUGAGAGGAAGGUCCCCCACAUUGGAACUGAGACACGGUCCAAACUCCUACGGGAGGCAGCAGUGAGGAAUAUUGGUCAAUGGACGAGAGUCUGAACCAGCCAAAGGUAGCGUGAAGGAUGACUGCCCUAUGGGUUGUAAACUUCUUUUAUAAGGGAAUAAAGUGAGGGACGUGUCCCUUUUUGUAUGUACCUUAUGAAUAAGGAUCGGCUAACUCCGUGCCAGCCGCCGC
rnacentral:rRNA from 1 species